rnacentral:lncRNA from 1 species
AUCUUAUCAUAUAUAACAGUAAGUAUUACAAUGUACAUUACAAAUGUUUGCCAAAAAAUAUUAUAUCUGACACCGUUAUAUACAAAUAGAAUCUGAUGUUUAAAUUUGUAGCACUUAUCAUCAAUGGCGGAUCUAUGGGUUUGAAGAAAGAGAGGUAGAUGCUCAUCGAAAAAGAAAAAGUCGUGACAGCUGUUCACAAUACAAGUUUUUAAAAUCAUUAUUUUAUUAACAUAAACAUUCAAAAUCAUUAUAGUAAAGUCAAAUCAUAUCACAUAUAUGUAGCUAUAUUUGUAAAAACUGAUAUAUGACAUGUGUUAUGCACCAAUCGUUCGAAAUAUUUAUGAUAUCAAGUAAAACAAUGAUAAGCCAGCAGUUAUAAAAGUUAAAUGAAAAAAGGAAAAUUAAAUACAGUCACCCCCAAUUUUCUUAGAAAAAUGCAUGUAUCUAGUCAUGAAUAUGAUACUUGUUUUCAAUUCAAUUUCGUUAAAUUGUUCAUACAUUCUAACCUUGAUUUUGUCUUUGUUUAUGGACUUCCUCCUUUUUGAAUAUAGCUUAUGAAUGCGUUAUCAUUUUUUGUAAAUUCCGUUUUUUUAUACAUCUAAACUUAGUUACGCCCCUUUGCAUUCUCUCCCCCCCUUUUUUUUUUGUAUUCAAAGCAUUGAACAAAUAUUUAUUUUAUCGUCUUCCUA